rnacentral:rRNA from 1 species
UACGUAGGGGGCAAGCGUUGUCCGGAAUCAUUGGGCGUAAAGCGCGUGUAGGCGGUUCGGUAAGUCUGCUGUGAAAGUCCAGGGCUCAACCCUGGGAUGCCGGUGGAUACUGUCGGGCUCGAGUCCGGAAGAGGAGUGUGGAAUCCCUGGUGUAGCGGUGAAAUGCGCAGAUAUCAGGAGGAACACCAAUGGCGAAGGCAGCUCGCUGGGACGUGACUGACGCUGAGACGCGAAAGCGUGGGGAGCAAACAGG